rnacentral:rRNA from 1 species
AUUCAACGCUGGCGGCAUGCUUUACACAUGCAAGUCGAACGGUAACAGGCCUUCGGGUGCUGACGAGUGGCGCACGGGUGAGUAAUGCAUCGGAACGUGCCCAGAGGUGGGGGAUAACGCAGCGAAAGCUGUGCUAAUACCGCAUGUGAUCUGAGGAUGAAAGCGGGGGACCAAGCAGCAAUGUUUGGCCUCGCGCCUCUGGAGCGGCCGAUGUCAGAUUAGGUAGUUGGUGGGGUAAAGGCCUACCAAGCCGACGAUCUGUAGCUGGUCUGAGAGGACGACCAGCCACACUGGGACUGAGACACGGCCCAGACUCCUACGGGAGGCAGCAGUGGGGAAUUUUGGACAAUGGGCGCAAGCCUGAUCCAGCAAUGCCGCGUGCGGGAAGAAGGCCUUCGGGUUGUAAACCGCUUUUGUACGGAACGAAAAGGCUCUGGCUAAUACCUGGGGCUGAUGACGGUACCGUAAGAAUAAGCACCGGCUAACUACGUG